AUUUUGAAAGCCACCUCCUGCAAGAAGUUGAGCACUUAGAGAAGAAUUGCAGGUUGAAAAAAUCCUUGCCAGGAAAUCAAAGACAUUGUUCCACUGUUUUUUCACUUCCAUGAUGUUACACAGAAAUCUGAAGGCUCUGACGAUCUGGAACAGAGGCUUGCAGUUAAGUUCUGUGAGACAGAAGAAUCUAGGACCAGCCACUCGUGUGUUGAGAGAGACC